AGUUCGGAUUGCAGUCUGCAACUCGACUGCAUGAAGCUGGAAUCGCUAGUAAUCGCGGAUCAGAAUGCCGCGGUGAAUACGUUCCCGGGUCUUGUACACACCGCCCGUCACACCAUGGGAGUCAGUAACGCCCGAAGUCAGUGACCGAACCGAGAGGACGGAGCUGCCGAAGGCGGGACGGAUAACUGGGGUGAAGUCGUAACAAGGUAUC
rnacentral:rRNA from 1 species